rnacentral:tRNA from 1 species
UAAUAUGAAAGGAACAUCCUAAUUUAAUUUCGACUUAAAUAAAUGAUUAUU